rnacentral:rRNA from 1 species
CCUUACGGCUCAGUAACACGUGGAUAACCUGCCCUUUGGGUCCGGCAUAACCCCGGGAAACUGGGGAUAAUUCCGGAUAACGCAUAUAUGCUGGAAUGCUUUAUGCGUCAAAUGGAUUCGUCUGCCCAAGGAUGGGUCUGCGGCCUAUCAGGUAGUAGUGGGUGUAAUGUACCUACUAGCCAACAACGGGUACGGGUUGUGAGAGCAAGAGCCCGGAGAUGGAUUCUGAGACAUGAAUCCAGGCCCUACGGGGCGCAGCAGGCGCGAAAACUUUACAAUGCGGGAAACCGUGAUAAGGGGACACCGAGUGCUAGCAUCAUAUGCUGGCUGUCCAGGUGUGUAAACUACACCUGUUAGCAAGGGCCGGGCAAGACCGGUGCCAGCCGCCGCGGUAACACCGGCGGCCCGAGUGGUGAUCGUGAUUAUUGGGUCUAAAGGGUCCGUAGCCGGUUUGGUCAGUCUUCCGGGAAAUCUGAUAGCUCAACUAUUAGGCUUUCGGGGGAUACUGCCAGGCUUGGAACCGGGAGAGGUAAGAGGUACUACAGGGGUAGGAGUGAAAUCUUGUAAUCCCUGUGGGACCACCUGUGGCGAAGGCGUCUUACCAGAACGGGUUCGACGGUGAGGGACGAAAGCUGGGGGCACGAACCGGAUUAGAUACCCGGGUAGUCCAGCCGUAAACGAUGCUCGCUAGGUGUCAGGCAUGGCGCGACCGUGUCUGGUGCCGCAGGGAAGCCGUGAAGCGAGCCACCUGGGAAGUACGGCCGCAAGGCUGAAACUUAAAGGAAUUGGCGGGGGAGCAC